UACGGGGGGGGCAAGUGUUGUUCGGAAUUACUGGGCGUAAAGGGCGCGUAGGCGGUUCGAUAAGUCAGCUGUGAAAACCAUGGGCUUAACUCAUGGCCUGCAGUUGAGACUGUCGGGCUGGAGUGUGGGAGAGGAGAGUGGAAUUCCUGGUGUAGCGGUGAAAUGCGUAGAUAUCAGGAGGAACACCGGUGGCGAAGGCGGCUCUCUGGACCACAACUGACGCUGAGGCGCGAAAGCUAGGGGAGCAAACAGG
rnacentral:rRNA from 1 species